rnacentral:ncRNA from 1 species
UAAGAUGGACCCUAGAAAGUCCCGCAAGCACAAAGGCUUGGUCCUGACUUUAUUAUCAACUUUAGCCAAACUUACACAUGCAAGUAUCCGCGCCCCUGUGAGAAUGCCCUACAGUUCCCCGCCCGGGAACAAGGAGCUGGUAUCAGGCACAUCCUAUUAAGCCCACGACACCUUGCUUAGCCACACCCUCAAGGGAACUCAGCAGUGAUAAACAUUAAGCUAUAAGUGAAAACUUGACUUAGUUAAAGCUAAGAGGGCCGGUAAAACUCGUGCCAGCCACCGCGGUUAUACGAGAGGCCCGAGUUGACAAACACCGGCGUAAAGCGUGGUUAAGUUAAAAAUCGUACUAAAGCCAAACAUCUUCAAGACUGUUAUACGUAACCGAAGACAGGAAGUUCAACCACGAAAGUCGCUUUAUCUGAUCUGAGCCCACGAAAGCUAAGGAACAAACUGGGAUUAGAUACCCCACUAUGCCUAGCCCUAAACAUUGAUAGUACUAUACACCCACUAUCCGCCCGGGUACUACGAGCAAUAGCUUAAAACCCAAAGGACUUGGCGGUGCUUUAGAUCCACCUAGAGGAGCCUGUUCUAGAACCGAUAACCCCCGUUCAACCUCACCCUUCCUUGUUUUACCCGCCUAUAUACCGCCGUCGUCAGCUUACCCUGUGAGGGACUAAUAGUAAGCAAAGCUGGUACAACCUAAAACGUCAGGUCGAGGUGUAGCGUAUGGAGGGGGAAGAAAUGGGCUACAUUCGCUACUACAGCGAACACGAAUGAUGCACUGAAACACACAUCUGAAGGAGGAUUUAGCAGUAAGCUGGAAAUAGAGCGUCCCGCUGAAAUUGGCCCUGAAGCGCGCACACACCGCCCGUCACUCUCCCCAAAAGCCCCAACCACUUAACUAAAACCUAACAAUCAAGAAGGGGAGGCAAGUCGUAACAUGGUAAGUGUACCGGAAGGUGCACUUGGUAAAAU